rnacentral:rRNA from 1 species
GAUGAACGCUGGCGGCGUGCCUAAUACAUGCAAGUCGAGCGAACGGACGAGAAGCUUGCUUCUCUGAUGUUAGCGGCGGACGGGUGAGUAACACGUGGAUAACCUACCUAUAAGACUGGGAUAACUUCGGGAAACCGUAGCUAAUACCGGAUAAUAUUUUGAACCGCAUGGUUCAAAAGUGAAAGACGGUCUUGCUGUCACUUAUAGAUGGAUCCGCGCUGCAUUAGCUAGUUGGUAAGGUAACGGCUUACCAAGGCAACGAUGCAUAGCCGACCUGAGAGGGUGAUCGGCCACACUGGAACUGAGACACGGUCCAGACUCCUACGGGGGGCAGCAGUAGGGAAUCUUCCGCAAUGGGCGAAAGCCUGACGGAGCAACGCCGCGUGAGUGAUGAAGGUCUUCGGAUCGUAAAACUCUGUUAUUAGGGAAGAACAUAUGUGUAAGUAACUGUGCACAUCUUGACGGUUCCUAAUCAGAAAGCCACGGCUAACUACGUG